GCUCGAUUCGUCUAACGGGAGGACAUGGGUGUUACAUACCUAAAAUGAAAGUUCGAUUCUUUCAUCGAGCA
rnacentral:tRNA from 1 species